rnacentral:lncRNA from 1 species
GCGUUAGUGAGCUUUGCAGGCUUCGAACGUCUGGAGGCGGGUGGGAGGGGCGGAGGGACGCCAGCUUCCUAGUGAUUGGUUAGAUCGGGGGAAGGGGCGGGGAAAGAUUGAGAGGUGAGGUGAUUGGUAGAACGCUGAGCGGUUGAUGGACUCGCGCUCGCAGAGCCCUUAAAAGGCGCGAGGCGCAGGUCGCUUGGCGGUUGCUCGCUGCGGUUGUUACCUUGCGUGAAGUUUUUUUCUUUUUAGCCCUUUGCUAUAUUGGUGUCAGUCUAAGUUUGAGGGUGUAGGUUGUGACUUAGUAUCAUCUAUGGAUGAAGGCCUGUGGGAAGACUGGAACGCAGUAAUUCAAAAUACGCAUUUUUUAAAAAAAGUGUGCGCCACCUCAGUUGUCUCAACCCUGGGAUAAGCAGAUCCGACACACCUGACGGGGAAAAAUAGCGCAAGUCAACACAUCUUUAACUCUCCACACCUUCGUGGCUAAUUCAGUAGUCGAGCUCAAACACCUGCCCUUAGCUGGGAACUCUCUAGAAACGUCCUUCCAGAGGGGAUUUAAGACGGCUGAGUUCACAGGCUGGUCUCUCUGGUAAAGGGAGACUGGUGUAUUUUCCACAAAUGGUUUACUGGCAACCCCUUUCUUCAGUCGUGUUGGCGAAGGGCCCUUGGCGUGGCACCAAUGUUGGGGUGCAGGAAGGGACGGCAGCCUGGGAGGCGUGGGUCAUGCAGAAAGAAGGUGAGCCAGACCUGAGAAACGAGGAUGCCGUGGGCGCUUUCCAGACGCGGAGACCAGUGUCAUGAGAGAAGACCUGAUGGGUUCAGCGAAUUACCAUCUCGUGAGUGAGGAGCUCAUGCUGAAGCCGUAGACUGGGCAGGUAAGCCUCUGCUGGCCCUGACCUCCUGCUGGCUGGUCAUGGCAGUUACUGGCGGUUGUUUGAAGCCUGAAUUGUUGGCUCUUGGGAAUUGUAUUGUGGGAGGCCGUUUCUAAGUCCAGUGACAUCUGAUUUCUAGUUGGAAUGAAUUCCUAGAGGUAAUAUACAAAACUUCUAAAAAGUCUGUUUAGUUAGAUGAAGAGUGAAAACCACUACCGUGCUUGUUUUUUGCUAAAAAGACAUUUGUGAAAUUAUUUUACCUUUGUUAUACAUGAAAGGGUGCCCCUGAAUGAAAGGAGGCAUGAAGGCAUUUUGUUGUUUUGUUGUUCAUUUUAAAUACUUGAUAAAGGAAAACUAGAAAAGAACUAGACUCGGAGUUCCCAUCAUGGCUUAGCAGAAACAAAUCUGACUAGCAUCCAUGAGGACACAGGUUCGAUCCCUGGCCUCUCUCAGUGGGUUAAGGAUCCGGCGUUGCCGUGAGCUGUGGUGUGGGUCGCAAAUGUGGCUCAGAUCCCACGUUGCUGGGGCUGUGGUGUAGGCCAGCGACUGCAGCUCCGGUUCAACCCCUAGCCUGGAAACCUCCAUAUGCCGUGGGUGCGGCCUUAAAAAGACAAACCAAAAAACAAAAAAAAACCACAAACCCCAAAAUAAACUAGACUCAUCUUAAUCUUGACAUAAGCCACAUCAGACUGAUCUCUUGUGCCUCCCAAUGGGCAUUGUCAAAAAAUCAAACAAUGCAACUUUGGGGAAGCCGCCCGAGGUCAC